rnacentral:lncRNA from 1 species
CCCCUCCACUUGAACUUUGAAAAUCUUAAAAGCAAAAAUCUCUCAAAAUACACAGCUAUACUAAGUCAUAUACUCAGAAUGGAACCAGUAGAAGCAUUUAAAAAUUUCUUUGCUGACUGAUCCCUCCUGAAUGGACUUAUUAGAUCAGGAUUCUGAAGUCUAAAUGGAUAUCUCACCUAAGUUUGCCAGUCAAACCACCUGAUGAUGCUUCGAGUUUAGCCUUCCUGAAUAAGCCAGGAUGAAAUAAAACUCAUUACCUUCCCCCAACCUCAUCUCUCAAUUCAAAUCCUCUAGACAGUAUUCACCAAGUCAGUCUCUGAAAUGUUUAACCUAAUACAAAGAAAACCAAGGCAUACAUAGUAAGACAUUAUAAAUAAAGCUGAAGGGAAAUGGAUGGAAUAAAGACAAAAAAACUUU